UAAAGAUAAACAGUUUAAUUUUAAAAGACCCGUUUGACACUACUGCCCAGCCAAAACAACGUUUUACAUAAUGCUUUCGGGUAACCAAUCGUCUUAACUGCCUUAAGUCUGUCUAGGAAUUUAAUAUCAGUGUAAGCCGUUGAGAUAAUAAAUGUUCUAACUUAGUGCGUUUAGUCAACACCAGAGAAAGUGUAUUUGUAGUAGAAAAAGUGAUCAGAUUGCGUUAUUGUGUAGAAUUUCAGCCCUUACUUACUAGUCACAGAGUAAACUAAGAUAGGAAGAUAUCUUUCCAUUUUAUCACAACAAAGUUUUAAACGAAGGGUAGAGGAACGGAACGAAGCUUGAAUAAACCAUGAAGGGGCAUCGAUGUGUGUAAUCGUAAAAGCAAGAAAGGAUUUAAAUUGAGGCUAACUUGAGGGUCGGCUGGGUUUUUGCAAAGUUUAUCUCGGUUGGUUUUAAAGUGUUGCGUUUAACUGAGGAACGGAUCCAAUCAUUCUUCGCUUCUUCACGGCCGUAACUUUGCAAGUUACAAAACACUUUUAAGAAUGCAACGAAGACAACAAUACAGUGUGGUGUCCACUUUAUUUGGCCCUAUAAUGUGUUCAAACCAUUAGUCAAAAGGGGAUAUUUGGGAACACAUUAUAAACAAGGAAACAACCACUUAAAUUCACUUGAAUUCUUUUUUAAAACAUCCUUUGUGUAUGCUCGAACUUCUUAAGCGACCACGAUUAAUUUCGAAGCCAAAAAUUUGAUAAAUUCCUUAGCUUUGAUGGGUUUUUGAGAAGCAAUAAAAAGUUAGGAAAUCCACGUGUUACUCGAACGUCAAAUAGAAUUGUUUAAAAAGAGGAAAUCAGGAUUAGAAGUAUAGGUUUCCGAACAUAUGUUUAUCAAGGAACACAUUUUCAAUCGCAAAGGUGCAUGUCGUGAAUUCAAGAACUGAAUACUGAGUGAUUUGGAUAUGUUUUCCAAAGACGAAUUUUUCAUCUGCUUCAACUUGUGAAGUAGGAAUGAAUGGUGGAUCCAAUCAUUUUUUGGCCUUAUGUAUCGAUAUUUUUCUAAGCGACCACUUUCUUUAGGUGACUACUCUUAGCUUACUUACACCGUGGGUGGUCGCUUACAAGAAAGUUGACUAUCAUCCAGCCCCUCUCUUCCUCAGUAGCAGUGAUGGCGUUUGCUUUCGUGUGAACGUGACUAAACUCACGUGACAUACGCAUGAGUAUUAUUACAUAUUUGUCGUUUUCUUCAGUUCCUCGGAAAGUUCAUUUUCCUCUGAACGUUUUAGAGGGGCGUUAUCGUGAUAUUCAAGACAAAACGUACACUGAGCUGAUAUCGACUGUAAAUAAAAAGUUUCAAACAUACUCGAUGCAAGGAAAUUUCUUGAGAUUAGGCUCUAGCACAAACAUUUAUUUUCUCCGCAUUUAUUUAUUCGCAUAAACAUUUAUUUACUCGACGCAAGGAAAUUUCUUGAGAUUAGGCUCUAGCACAAACAUUUAUUUUCUCCGCUUGCAACAUAAACACCGCCACUAAGUCUACGAGAGUGCCUUUCUUUGUUGUUGUUUUUUUCUUGUUUUGGACGAGAAUUGCAGACUAUCAAGAUCAUUUUGUUCCUGAUGCAUGUAAGACGAUUAUGGGUUUGGCUUAAUUAGGGUUAGGUUCCGACGUUUCAUCUGAGUUAGAUGUCAAUUGGACCAGCCUAAGGCGCGCCAUCUCGGUAGAAUAAGAGAGAUUUAAUAUAUGAAAUCCGGCGAUUAGGGAAUUAAGAAGCAAAUACUUCUAAGCAGUAAAGAAAGGGGUUUCUCAAUUUGUAACAAGUUCUUAAUUAACUCAAAGAGAUCUGUAAAAGGUCUGGAAAGAUAGCAGGAAUUUAACCAAGGAAGGACAUCGUAAAAAGAUUUUUCGAAAGACGUCGUUAACCAGGUUCUCAAUGAAAUUAAAAAACGUUUCGUACUCUGUUGAGAAUGUAUCCGUCGUCGUGCGACUGUGGUACUAACUGUUUUUCUUUCCUUUUUUUAAGAAUGUCAAAGCUGGUCAAGAUUCCAUUUUUCCGCUAAUUAAAUAUUGGGCAAUUUGUCUGUAUUAACCUAAUUUUGUCUGUCGGCCUUUUCCUUCAAAGGAAUAACAGACUAUUUUUGGACUAAAAGAUUACCUUGGCUGGUUUCAGUCGGUGAGAGCAUAAUCCAGGAAUUUGAAUGAGUACUGGCGAACUUUCCAAGAAAGCCUGAUGAAACCUGCGUUGGACGUGCAUCUUAUCAAGGGGGUCUUCUUUUAACGUGCUCAAAAAUGCUUUCUACUUUUUCUUUUUUUCCUUCUCACAUACUUAUCCUAAUGUAAAGAUCAUGUUCGUACGCUAGAAAAAGUUAUAAAUUAUGAAUUAUGAUAGAUAGUCCUGCAUAGAAAGAAUUGUAGAUUUGUUUUUGAAAUGGGGAUUAUCUUAAGUAUUCCGUUCAUGACGUAAGCCAACCAUAGAGGCAUCCUCAGGUUUCGUUGCCUGGUCAGUAUUCUUUUAUAUUUUUUUGUACACACAGUGUUAGGAAAAAGUUAAGAAAAUGAACGGAACUACGUAGCAACAGUCCCAGCCGCUUCACGCCACAGAACUCCACGAAUACUGAAAACGAUGUGUGUUUCUCUUCUAGGAGUGUCCAAAACUGAAUUCCCCUUCCAAUAUCUAUGUUCUUUCAGGAAGAAAGGUGACACUUCUCAGAUCCAAAACUAUUCGAAAUGUGUUUCCGACAAUGUGGAGGAUUGAUAGACUGAGUGGUGCAGUUGAAAUAAAACAUUAUUGAAAAUGAACUAUACCCAAAUCAUCUGAGGUAUAGCAAAUGUAACUCUACCAUUUUGUCAUGCUACCCAGUAGGGGCUGUUUCAUUCGUAAAGGACUUUGUUACGGAAUUUCGACUCAUUUUUAGUUUUUUACGUAGUCACGAUGUCAGAGAGAAUUGUACCUCAGUACCCUUUCAAUCCCAAGAUAUCAUAGAUUUCUUGCAAGUUGGCCCUUAGAAUUUUAUGUUAAAUCAAUUAAUAUCUUCUUACUGAUAUUUUCUUUCCUUAUAAUCUUUCUGCCUGGAAUUAAAAUGUAUUUAUUAAAAAUGAAAGGAAAAACAAUUUUUUUUUGUCAAUCCCGGCGAUGGAAUAGUACCAAACAAGGAUUGCUGAGAAUGAACAAGAUUUCCACUUGUUGAACAAAAUGAUCUUAAAAACUUUAGGCUAGAUUACUCAAGGUGGACGAACUGUCCCGUAACAAAAAACGUAACAAAACAAAGAAAGACAAAAACUAUGUGACUGUACCUCCACAAAGACGGCAGACUUAACAUUCAUUCAAAAACCAGCAGUUCCUUGUACCAAUAAACGUUUGGUCGAGGUCCUUUCCGUCCACCACCUGUUGAAGAUCACCAAUUACUAGGUUAUUUUCGAAAGAAUCCAAUAUGUGUGAUUAUGAAAGAGGGAGGCAUUAUAUACAACGCUUAGUUCGGAUGGUAUUCGUGGGCGAAUUAUGACGCAGCUCUGAUGCGUUCCAACAUCUUUCAGCGGUCUCAGAAGAUCGCCAAAUCUCUAGGAAAUCCUAUUCAAUGUAAUUAAGAUGAAACUGUGGAUAUUGGCAAAAAUUCAACAAAAUGUUCGAAAUUUUAUUUGAUAGAGGUCAGGCCAUUGAAAACCCUCAAGGCACGCUUUUAGCAAAACCAUUCUGGACUAGCAGUGGUAUCUUUAAUUAAACUCGGUAAACAACCUUCAGUAAAAUCAAUAGCUAUCUAUAUACAAUAUUAAAUUGGUCAAAAGCUAUCAAUAUACUGUUUUACAAGAUUGCCGAAUGAGAAUCCAAUGACCCAAAUACACAGUUAAUUCGCUUUUCAAAUUCACCUAUUGAUCUGAUUUCUGUGACAUUCUCAGGUAAUGAAUCCCACAAACAGGCACCGCUGUAACUAAAACUGCGUUUUAAGUCAUUAGCACGCGGCCUUGGCAAUGUCAGUUUACAAAAGACGUUUUGUCCAGUGUAAAACCAUUACAGCUACGGGGCCUUCUGUUUCAUGAGUACAAUUAACGACUCGAAAAAGAUUUAGCAAACCCCCCUGGAUUUUGGAGACCGUCUGUCUGACGUUACUCAGAUGUAUUUGUAUCAUUAAGUCUCGUUCGCUCAGUGGGUUAGUUAUCCAAGGAAACCGAAAUGUUAACCUUUAGCCCGUGAAUCAUUUGUCAGAUUACUAUGCAAAAAUAGAAGUUCACGUAUCAUGUAAAAGGACUGAUAUACUCGAAUAAAAUGCCAAUUGGUAAGAGGAAUAAUGAUGAUAAUCAUAAAUGAAGGACGUACAGUUUUUAAGAUUUCAACUGCAAUAUCAUGAUAGACAAUUAUCUUAUGCUCGUGUUUGUUUUUUACGAGGCUGAGUUAUUGAUUGAAGCAACAAGCAUCCAUUUCCAAAAUAAACCGAAAACCCUCCAAUGGUCUCACUCAAACGUAGAUAGUUUUGUUGUUGUUGUUGUUCAGUUUCCCGCCGUUUUGUUAAAAAGGAAGGUGACAAGAACUCCAUGAUAAGAAUGUAAUUUACACGCAGUGCAGUUAAUGUAUGAUAGAAUCACAGUGACCCAUUGAACAAACGAAGACGGAAAAGAGACAUGGUUUGCCUAUCCGAAGAAACAUUCAUAAAAAUUGAUAAAUGAAAUAAAUUUGAAUUUAGUAAUGGACAUUCUACCAGGUGACUGCUCUUGUCCACUGUUUUCUGGUCGAGUUGGAAUCCUCUCCCUCAGAAAACUUACCAAAUAUUCUUUCAGGGUUUUGAAGCAAUAGUGUGGCAGUUUUUCUAUCAGGUCAAAUUUUUACUAGGAUUAUAAUUUGCAGUACCCCGUUAUCUUCACUAUUCUUGCCGGGCUAUCUUUGUUCCUCGUUGAUUUAUGAUCACCUCGGUUGUGGUUUUCUAUGGUGUCGAAGUAACAUUUUGUAUAUAGUCAUUCGGGCCAAUCCAGAUCAAUCUUCCUCAUCCUUUGCCAUAAUUUUUUCCUUCUUUCUCUAUCAGGUCCUUUUUUGUGUUUUUCUUUUUUUUCGUCUUACCGACCGAACUUGUGUUUAGU